rnacentral:rRNA from 1 species
AGUGAACGCUGGCGGUAGGCCUAGCACAUGCAAGUCGAACGGCAGCACAGUAAGAGCUUGCUCUUACGGGUGGCGAGUGGCGGACGGGUGAGGAAUACAUCGGAAUCUACUUUUUCGUGGGGGAUAACGUAGGGAAACUUACGCUAAUACCGCAUACGACCUACGGGUGAAAGCAGGGGAUCUUCGGACCUUGCGCGAUUGAAUGAGCCGAUGUCGGAUUAGCUAGUUGGCGGGGUAAAGGCCCACCAAGGCGACGAUCCGUAGCUGGUCUGAGAGGAUGAUCAGCCACACUGGAACUGAGACACGGUCCAGACUCCUACGGGAGGCAGCAGUGGGGAAUAUUGGACAAUGGGCGCAAGCCUGAUCCAGCCAUACCGCGUGGGUGAAGAAGGCCUUCGGGUUGUAAAGCCCUUUUGUUGGGAAAGAAAAGCAGCAGGUUAAUACCCAGCUGUUCUGACGGUACCCAAAGAAUAAGCACCGGCUAACUUCGUG